rnacentral:lncRNA from 1 species
GGGGAUGCUGCUGAUGGACUACUGAUGCUGAUGGGUACUGACAAGCACCAGACCUGGAGAAGCAAUUCUUUACACCAGGAUGAACAAACAGAAAGGACAUCAUGAUGGAAGCCGUGGGUGUAUUUUGAAUGCAGCAGAAAGGAAAUGUUAGCCCCACACUUAAUGGGAGAUAUAGUGGUUUUUUCACUGGCUGUGGGAUUUCACAUAGAGGCAAGAAUGUGCACACUCUCCGAUCACAGAAAACUGACUUAUCACGGGAGGAGGCAGACGGCUCAGAAAGAAGCCGCCUCGCCUCCGCAGUGCCACUUCUGCUGCCCCCAGCCACCGGCACAGCUGAGUCAAGGUACAACCGCCCAGCAACGCUUUCCAGCAGGGAACGUUGCCCUGAACAGCUCUGACUGUUGAGCGCACGUUAGAAGGCGCCACGCUAGCGCAUUCCCCUGCGGUAUUUGAAACGACUCCUGUUACAUUUGUUGGAGGAAUGAGUCAGCAACCCUGAGAGGCUGUGACUCUUGCACCCUUUCCUGGCUCUGCCCUGUGGCCAGCUCCGAGGGCAGCAGGGAGAUAUUUUAUAUCAGCACGACCCCAAGGCUUGCCUCUGAGCAGCAGCAGCAGGAGCACCGGCCCACCCUAGGCAGAGCCAGGGUCUGUUCUGGCUCUGACACUUUACAGCCAUGUGGCCCGGGAUAAUCUUUCUCAUUCCCAGUUUCCCUGUUUUUAGUAGAGGGGUGAUAACGUCCACCUCCUUCACGAGCUUGUCCUAAGAAGCCCAGGAAGUAUGAAUGGGAGCGAGGCUGUCACGGGUUGUGUAGUCCGAUGGAGGCGGGGGUGAUCCUUGACUUGACCCAUAGCAGGUGUCCACUGAGUAUGUCCUGAUCCAAUCCGUGCCCUGCACUGCUGCUUCUCCCUACCACCAUUUCUCUCCACGUGCAAGGACAGGAGGCCACUCCAGCUUUCCCCUGUGAGGAAUUUCAGUAAACGUUCUCAGGGACACCAGUCCACGGGGUCCGGAUCCAAGUGCGCUGUUAUCCUCAAAUCCAGUCCACAGGGUCCAGAUCCGAGUGCGCUGUUAUCCUCAAAUCCAGUCCACGGGGUCCGGAUCCGAGUGCGCUGUUAUCCCCAAACAGUGUUGCAAUCCCUUUCCUGGUUGAAGUCAGGUGGACUCUGUUAUACUAAGAAGUCUCUGUGUUUGUGCUGCUUUGGAAACGCCUUAGUUCAUCCUAGCUUGGCAUCCCUGAGAGCAUCGUCUGCACCAUCCUCUCUGCAGACCCCUCCUGUUUCCCUGCAAAGCCCCUCCUCGCGAAUUAAAAAGAAAAGAAAAAAACAAAAACAAAAACAAAAAACAAAUGAAGAAGCAACUGGUACGAGCAGAUUUGGUGCAAGAGAACCAAUCGCAGGAGCCGCCCAAGCUCACUUAGGAAAAGAGCUGAGCGACUGCAGCUGCACCCAGAAGGUGGAGACCGCAUGUGAACCCAGGAUCCCAGGCAGCACAAGGCUAGAGACCCUGCAAGCAGCCAUGGCUGUGCGUUCAAGCGGAGCAUCAUCACAGCCAACACGGUCUUCCUCCUGGUUAACCAAGAUCCCGUUUCAGCCAUUCUGGAAUUGCAGGGCUGGCCAGAACUUUAGGAACAAUACGUGCAAUGCCUUCAUUUUGUGA